AACGAACGCUGGCGGCAUGCCUAACACAUGCAAGUCGAACGAGACCUUCGGGUCUAGUGGCGCACGGGUGCGUAACGCGUGGGAACCUGCCCUUAGGUUCGGAAUAACUCCCCGAAAGGGGUGCUAAUACCGGAUAAUGUCUUCGGACCAAAGAUUUAUCGCCUUUGGAUGGGCCCGCGUUGGAUUAGCUAGUUGGUAGGGUAAAAGCCUACCAAGGCGACGAUCCAUAGCUGGUCUGAGAGGAUGAUCAGCCACACUGGGACUGAGACACGGCCCAGACUCCUACGGGGGGCAGCAGUGGGGAAUAUUGGACGAUGGGCGAAAGCCUGAUCCAGCCAUGCCGCGUGAGUGAUGAAGGCCUUAGGGUUGUAAAGCUCUUUUACCCGGGAUGAUAAUGACAGUACCGGGAGAAUAAGCUCCGGCUAACUCCGUG
rnacentral:rRNA from 1 species